GAAAGGUGGAAUCUUUUCUUUGCCUGUAUUUUCUGUUUAGGGAUCAUAUGGAAAUGGUUGCUGCCCCCCACCCAAUUCCGAAUACCUUGUGUUACAUAGUCUCGUAGAAAGGUCGAAGCUGGGUCUCGGAAUUGUGCUAUUUCUCUCAUCUACAGAAACAGCAGGGACUGUAAUUUUGCUCUCAGUUGGAUUGUUAGAAUGAUAUCAGAGGAGGAGGGCAACGCGAGGGUUUUGUGGUGUCUCAAGUGUAAAGAGGGUACUAGUGGAACCAACAGAUUGUUGGUUUGUUGUGAGAAUGGAUGCCCAAUUGUUAUUCAUGAAGAGUGUAUGACGGUGCAGCCUCAGUUUGAUGAUAUGGGUCACUUUUACUGCCCUUAUUGUGCAUACAAGUGGAUAAGCCAUUUGUGUAAGCAGAAGGAGAAAAUGUUAAACCUAUCCGCUCUUAAAUUGACCAACUGGAUUUUGAGGGCAACCGAAGGAGACAGUGAGCAGAGGAGGAGGAGGGAGGUUGACGAUGAUGAAGAGAAUGGCGGUGUAUCUGCAAGGCAGGAUUUUGAGAAUGUUAAAGGUGGAGAAAGACAGGAGGAAAGAGAGCCUUUGGUGGUGGAGCCUCUGCUAACAGUGAGGCUUUCUGAUAUACAAGGAACGUCAGAUGGAGAUGAAGGACUUGGCAAAAGGGUGGCCGAGGAGGAGGACAAUGGAACCAGAAAGUUGCCAAAAUCUUUGAGCACAAGCUUCGUAUGUCUUGAUAGAAGGAGAGUAUUAUGGACCAAGGAAGAGGAACAAGCUUUAAAGGAGGGAGUGAAAGAAUUUUGGACCACAAAUAGAAAGUCUAUACCCUGGGAGAAAAUUUGUCAGGCUUACAAAGAUAGAUUUCACAGUUCACGUACUGCAGCUAAUCUCAAGGAUAAAUGGAAGUUUAUGACCAAAACGGCAACAAAAAAGGGUAAUUUGAUACCAUCGCUGCGUUGUUUUGAGAAAUUGCAGGUACCUGAGGUGAAGUAGUGAUCAUCGUUUGUCAAGAGAAAAAGCUAUCACAUUCUCAAGUUGAGUUGUAUUUUGUGUACUCAUUACUAUAUGAUGUGGAGUUGUACGCAAAAUCUGUUCUAAUGUCAAAGAGCUUGCAAAGCUUUUGAAAUCGUAAUCAUGGCUUGUUAAACCUCCAUUUCAUUGCUGGUUUUUGUCACGUGGAAUCGCAGGAAUUGUGAUGCAGGUGAAGAAAUGCUAACCAGAGUGGCAGUUCUUUUAAUGUCGGUGUCCUCUGUCAUUGAAGCAUCACAUCACGUUGAAAGAUUGAUGGAUCAGUUUACAUAUUCUAGAGAUGAAAAAUCUAAAACUUUGGAAGAAAUAGAUCCAAAAAUUCGUAACGAAAGAGUCAAACAGAAUAGGCAAUGAAGCAUUUCCACGCUCAGAAAUGGUACAUAAACCACUCCUCAAAUUACAAUGCAUUGGAAGGUGACCACAAUUCAAAUGGUAAUAUAUAAACCACUUUCCAAGCUGUGGGGCGCCAUGCUCUACGAGCGAUCCAUUGUGGCAUUCAAAUUGGGGCUACCUGUAUGGCAUGAAUGCGUGGAAGUCGCAGUUAGAAGUUUGGACUUGCUGGGGCUUCUUCAACAGAUAUAGAUUUUUUGGUCAAAAACCACUUUUCAGAUGAUAAUGCAUUGGAAGGUCUAGGAUUCAAGAUUGAUGAGAUAAUACAAGCAUGGAAUGAGAUGUAUGAAGCUAAGAAGUGGCAGUGGAAUUCCCUCAUUUCAGUUGGAGCCACUACUUUGACGGAGAGUUUCAAAACUUCAUUCUGCUUUCGAGAAUGCUUUAAAAUACAGCAAUGAAUAGAUACAUUUUGCUGCUCCAUGAAGCAUGUAGUAUUUCAUAGAGGUAGGCAUGAGUUUUCGCUCUCAUGUGAAUUCGUUCAUCAAAUUCAUAUAGACACAUCAUUUUAGCAGUUCCUUGGUUUUCUUGGUUUCCUGUCAAAGUUUCAGGCUUUCAGCUAUGGAACUUCGUCGUUUUACUUUUACACACGGUGGAUAGUUUCGUGGAUCCAAUUAUUUAUUUGUGGUAGUUCAAGAAAACAAACAUUUUUUUCCUUCUCUUUACACAUUAGGGGGUCGAGGUGAAGUUACAGAUCUUCAUUAUAGUUAGUUCUGCCUUCAUCAACAUGGCUUACAGUUUCAGCUAGAACAUGUGUACUUGUAAUUGAAGCAUCAACUAUCUACCUUGAUGUUAGCGUGGGGUGUAACUUCAAA